AGUGAACGCUGGCGGUAGGCCUAACACAUGCAAGUCGAACGGCAGCACAGUAAGAGCUUGCUCUUACGGGUGGCGAGUGGCGGACGGGUGAGGAAUACAUAGGAAUCUACUUUUUCGUGGGGGAUAACGUAGGGAAACUUACGCUAAUACCGCAUACGACCUACGGGUGAAAGCAGGGGAUCUUCGGACCUUGCGCGAUUGAAUGAGCCGAUGUCGGAUUAGCUAGUUGGCGGGGUAAAGGCCCACCAAGGCAACGAUGCGUAGCUGCUCCGAGAGGGUGAUCGGCCACACUGGAAAUGAGACCCGGUUCAGACUGCUACGGGAGGAAGCAGUAGGGAAUAUUACGCAAUGGGCGCAAGCCUGAAGGAGCAAAGCCGCGUGAGUGAUGAAGGUCUUCGGAUCGUAAAACUCUGUUAUUAGGGAAGAACAAAUGUGUAAGUAACUAUGCACGUCUUGACGGUACCUAAUCAGAAAGCCACGGCUAACUACGUG
rnacentral:rRNA from 1 species